rnacentral:tRNA from 1 species
GAGGGUAGAGCUCAGUGGUAGAGUGUGUGCUUAGCAUGCACGAGGUCCUGGGUUCAAUCCCUAGUACCUCCA